rnacentral:rRNA from 1 species
AACGAACGCUGGCGGCAGGCUUAACACAUGCAAGUCGAGCGCCCCGCCAGGGGAGCGGCAGACGGGUGAGUAACGCGUGGGAACGUACCUUUUGGUUCGGAACAACUCCGGGAAACUGGAGCUAAUACCGGAUAAGCCCUAACGGGGAAAGAUUUAUCGCCGAAAGAUCGGCCCGCGUCUGAUUAGCUAGUUGGUGAGGUAACGGCUCACCAAGGCGACGAUCAGUAGCUGGUCUGAGAGGAUGAUCAGCCACACUGGGACUGAGACACGGCCCAGACUCCUACGGGAGGCAGCAGUGGGGAAUAUUGGACAAUGGGCGCAAGCCUGAUCCAGCCAUGCCGCGUGAGUGAUGAAGGCCUUAGGGUUGUAAAGCUCUUUUGUCCGGGAAGAUAACGACUGUACCGGAAGAAUAAGCCCCGGCUAACUUCGUG